rnacentral:misc_RNA from 1 species
CUGGCACGAUGGAGAACUGCAUGAAGAGGCAGCGGAGUGCUGUCUGUCCCCACCCUUCCCCGCCCGGCCUCCAACUGGUGGGAACUGGAUUUUGCCGCUGCAAAUGACUUCCCCAUAUUUUGCCACAUUAACAGCUGACUGCACACCUGAGCCCCUAGGCAAUGCGGUGUGCAGAGGGUGCUUGGUGGUUCUCUCCUGAUGGCCCCGCAGGGUCUGCAGCCUCCAUCUGGCCAGCAGAAGGCGCAGAAAGACUGCCUGGGCAGCUCGGACGUGACCGCCUGGAAGUGGUGUACAGCGUUCCUGACAACGUUCCCGGCCAAAACGGGUCCCGCCGCCCACUUGUGUGCAAGAUAACUGGAAAAUGUCUUUCUGUGUGCUCCGAGGAGAAUGCAAAGGCUGGUGGAUGUAGUGCCUUUCCUCUACUGCUCUCUCAGCUGGGGGCAAGAAUGACAGGACGUGAACAUGCACACAAGGGCCCGGAACUCACGACCCCCGACAGCGGUCUCCCCCGCCCCCCCAACCCCGCGCUUGCAGGAUUUAGGGCACUAGCACAGCACAGUCCACCCCUUGGGACUAGCACCCCCUCCGCAGUUCUGCUCUCUGCAGCAACAUAGAGUACAAAUAUUGUUCCUUUUGUUUCUUUUUUCCCUUUGGAUACAUUUUUAAUUACAAAAAUAGAGCUUGAUUGUUGCACCUA